GACGAACGCUGGCGGCGGGCCUAAAACAUGCAAGUCGAACGCAGUGGGGACGGGUGAGUAACACGUGGGUAACCUCCCAUCAGAGGGGAUAACACUUGGAAACAGGUGCUAAAACCGAUAUUGAUGGGUGGACCCGCGGUGCAUUAGCUAGUUGGGGAGGUAACGGCGCAGCAAGGCCACGAUGGAUAGCGGCGCGACGAGGGUGUUCGACCCCACUGUGACUGAGACCCGUCCCAGACUCCCAUGGGAGGCAGAAGUAGGGCAUCUUCGGAAAUGGACGAAAGCAUGACCGAACAACGGCGCGUGAGUGAAGAAGGUUUUCGGAUCGUAAAACUCUGUUGUUAGGGAAGCGGUAUCUAACCAGAAAGCCACGGCUAACUACGUGCCAGCAGCCGCGGUAAUAC
rnacentral:rRNA from 1 species